rnacentral:rRNA from 1 species
CCAGAGAACUUAGCAGAGAUGCUUUGGUGGCCUUCGGGAACUCUGAGACAGGUGCUGCAUGGCUGUCGUCAGCUCGUGUUGUGAAAUGUUGGGUUAAGUCCCGCAACGAGCGCAACCCUUAUCCUUUGUUGCCAGCGGUUAGGCCGGGAACUCAAAGGAGACUGCCAGUGAUAAACUGGAGGAAGGUGGGGAUGACGUCAAGUCAUCAUGGCCCUUACGAGUAGGGCUACACACGUGCUACAAUGGCGCAUACAAAGAGAAGCGACCUCGCGAGAGCAAGCGGACCUCAUAAAGUGCGUCGUAGUCCGGAUUGGAGUCUGCAACCCGACUCCAUGAAGUCGGAAUCGCUAGUAAUCGUGGAUCAGAAUGCCACGGUGAAUACGUUCCCGGGCCUUGUACACACCGCCCGUCACACCAUGGGAGUGGGUUGCAAAAGAAGUAGGUAGCUUAACCUUCGGGAGGGCGCUUACCACUUUGUGAUUCAUGACUGGGGUGAAGUCGUAACAAGGUAAGCGUAGUGCU